rnacentral:rRNA from 1 species
GUGGGGAAUUUUGGACAAUGGGCGCAAGCCUGAUCCAGCAAUGCCGCGUGCAGGAAGAAGGCCUUCGGGUUGUAAACUGCUUUUGUACGGAACGAAACGGUCCUGGUUAAUACCCGGGGCUAAUGACGGUACCGUAAGAAUAAGCACCGGCUAACUACGUGCCAGCAGCCGCGGUAAUACGUAGGGUGCAAGCGUUAAUCGGAAUUACUGGGCGUAAAGCGUGCACAGGCGGUGCUGUAAGACAGGCGUGAAAUCCCCGGGCUUAACCUGGGAAUUGCGCUUGUGACUGCAGUGCUGGAGUGCGGCAGAGGGGGAUGGAAUUCCGCGUGUAGCAGUGAAAUGCGUAGAUAUGCGGAGGAACACCGAUGGCGAAGGCAAUCCCCUGGGCCUGCACUGACGCUCAUGCACGAAAGCGUGGGGAGCAAACAGGAUUAGAAACCCCAGUAGUCC